rnacentral:rRNA from 1 species
AGAAUCAACGCUGGCGGCGUGCCUAACACAUGCAAGUCGAACGAGAAAGUGGAGCAAUCCAUGAGUAAAGUGGCGCACGGGUGAGUAACACGUGACUAACCUACCCUGGAGUGGGGGAUAACUGAGGGAAACCUUAGCUAAUACCGCAUAAUACCUACGGGUCAAAGGAGCAAUUCGCUUUGGGAGGGGGUCGCGGCCGAUUAGCUAGUUGGCGGGGUAAUGGCCCACCAAGGCGAUGAUCGGUAUCCGGCCUGAGAGGGCGCACGGACACACUGGAACUGAAACACGGGCCAGACUCCUACGGGAGGCAGCAGUGGGGAAUCUUGCACAAUGGGGGAAACCCUGAUGCAGCGACGCCGCGUGAGCGAUGAAGCCCUUCGGGGUGUAAAGCUCUUUCGACGGGAACGAUAAUGACGGUACCCGGAGAAGAAGCUGCGGCUAACUACGUGCCAGCAGCCGCGGUAAUACGUAGGCAGCAAGCGUUGUUCGGAGUUACUGGGCGUAAAGAGUGCGUAGGCGGUGCUCCAAGUCUGGUGUGAAAUCUCCCGGCUUAACUGGGAGGGUGCGCCGGAGACUGGAGUGCUUGAGUGUGGGAGAGGAAAGCGGAAUUCCUGGUGUAGCGGUGAAAUGCGUAGAUAUCAGGAGGAACACCGGUGGUGUAGACGGCUUUCUGGACCGUAACUGACGCUGAGACACGAAAGCGUGGGUAGCAAACAGGAUUAGAUACCCUGGUAGUCCACGCCCUAAACGAUGCAUAUUUGGUGUGGGCAGUUCAUUCUGUCCGUGCCGGAGCUAACGCGUUAAAUAUGCCGCCUGGGGAGUACAGUCGCAAGGCUGAA